rnacentral:rRNA from 1 species
ACGAACGCUGGCGGCGUGCUUAACACAUGCCAGUCGAACGGAAAGGCCCUGCUUUUGUGGGGUGCUCGAGUGGCGAACGGGUGAGUAACACGUGAGUAACCUGCCCUUGACUUUGGGAUAACUUCAGGAAACUGGGGCUAAUACCGGAUAGGAGCUCCUGCUGCAUGGUGGGGGUUGGAAAGUUUCGGCGGUUGGGGAUGGACUCGCGGCUUAUCAGCUUGUUGGUGGGGUAGUGGCUUACCAAGGCUUUGACGGGUAGCCGGCCUGAGAGGGUGACCGGCCACAUUGGGACUGAGAUACGGCCCAGACUCCUACGGGAGGCAGCAGUGGGGAAUAUUGCACAAUGGGCGGAAGCCUGAUGCAGCAACGCCGCGUGCGGGAUGACGGCCUUCGGGUUGUAAACCGCUUUCGCCUGUGACGAAGCGUGAGUGACGGGAAUGGGGAAAGAAGCACCGGCUAACUACGU